AGGUAUCUGCUGUCAUCUUGCCCAGCUUGGAGCUAAGAGCUCUGUGUGUGUUUGUAUGAGCAGUGAACAGUAUGGAACAUGUAGAAGGAGUGGACAGGAAGGACCAGAGAGGUGUUUGUGGAAUGGAGCCCUGCGCAGGAGUGUGAGGAAGCCAACCGGACCCUGGCAUAUGAACACUGGGUCAGCUGAGCCAGGACCUCCUCAGAGACUGGGAAGGCUAGAAGGCUGUCAGAGUUGACUGACUAUGGAAGGCUCGGCUCUCAUCGCAUCCCAACUAGACCCACAAUGUCCCUGCUCACUCAGCCCCAACACAAUAAAUGCCUGUGACAGAGGAA
rnacentral:lncRNA from 1 species